rnacentral:lncRNA from 1 species
ACUCCUCCUCCAUGCCCAGGGACCGCGGGUGCUUGGGGCCCCGACGCGUACCCAGGUGCCAUCUGGCCCUCACCUCCCGCCGUAGCUGGCUGUGACGCCCGCCAUGGGCACACUGGGGCAGUGCAGUGAGAAGACGAGGAUGCCCAGCAGGCUGACAACGGUGCAGAACAGGCAGAACUUGAUGACCGCGGAGCCCCGGAGCCUGAGCUUGUUCACAAAGAAGCCGCCCAGGAAGGUGCCGCCACCACCCGCUGGCACCACCAGGGCAGCCACACCCCCUCCUCCCCCAGGGGCCUCUGCCGAGUCCCUGCAGGCUGUGACAAGGACAUUUGUCGAAGCCUGAGUGGCCACCAACAGUAAAAAAUUGCGAUUAGCUGGCAUCUAGCUUCUGGGCUGACAAGUGAGGAGGGCACAGAUAGUGGACCCUGGAAGGGUAGAGCGCGGUAGAUUGGCGGUGGUGGCCCACAUGCCUGGCACCUCUGCCAUGGCCCAGGGUACUCUGUGAACGCUGGCAGGAGGAGCAGCUCUGAGGAGGGGUCCCCACUUUCUGCAGACCUGCCCAGCCUGGGAAGGCCAGCCUGCCUCUGGCACCGAGAAACCCCCAGCUGCACUGUUCCAGGAGGUCCUGAGGCACCAGUGCCUGGCUCAUGGAACAGCCAGGUCCAAACCCUUCCUGCACCAAGUCACAGAAGCCAAGACUAGGUGGCUAGGGGGUGGAGCCCACCGUGGACCCUUCCACCUACGGAGCAUGUCCCACAAAGAGGGCAGGACCACCACUCUCCCGGCCUGUGGACAGAGUCGCUCAGCCCCCGUGGCGCUCUCCACACCUGCUCUGGCAGCGGGGGUGGGAGGGCACUCACUGCCAUGUGCCCUGUCUGGGUCUUUCUAGAAGAUGCCCUUGAAGACUCUGUUUCUGAGAACUGACAUAAAAGCAGAGGACCCCCAAGAUUCAGUUUUCUCACCAAACAAGGUGGCAGCUUCUGAGGCACUCAGGCUGAACUGGGACUCCAAGAACUUGGGGCUGAACGUGGACAUGCCGGUGAUGAGAGUGGCCUCGGUGGCCCCGGCCAGGCAGAGCAGGAUGAACGUGGGGUUCUUCAGCAGGAGCCAGAUGGAGCUGGGCAGAGGUGGGGGUGUGGAGAAGAGACUGAGGGUCAGAGUGGUGGGCAGAGGUCGGGGUGUGGAGAAGAGACUGAGGGUCAGAGUGGUGGGCAGAGGUCGGGGUGUGGAGAAGAGACUGAGGGUCAGAGUGGGCCAGACCCAGGGUGGGAGGAACCUGCUGUUCCUGAGGCUGUCAGCUCCCCGGUCUGAUUACAAAGGGCCCCUGUUCCGACAGGGAGUAGAGUGGGGUGCAGGCAGGUGGGGGACACCCACACUUAUUCCAGAGAAACCCAGGGGGCGCCAGGCUGAGCCUAUGCCUGUGGCCCACUUGUCCUGAAAGCUGCAGUCCCUGAUUAGGGAAAAACCUUAUCAGUGCCUUGGCCAGAGCUUCAGCUCAGGUGGGGAGAGACCCCAAGUGACCCAGGACCCUGUUCCGUCACUGGCCAGCAGCAGGGCCUGAAAAAGGGAACUGGCUGGGGCAGGCAGAGGCCACCAAGUCCAGGACCGGACAGGCCCUGGGAUAGGGGAAUGGAAUCACGGGAAUGGGGACUGUGGCCAGUCCCCAACCGCCAGCCCCUGGGAGAAGUGGGGCAGGAAGCCACUGGGAUUCGAACCCUCCAUGCAAGAAGCCCCUGGGUAGACGGACCUGGCUAGCUUGGUUUGCACUUGGGGGCCAGUGGCCCUGGGGGUGGUGAGGCCUCAACUGGGGCGAGUCCUUGGUGCAUGGGCCUGGAGCCCUGGGGGGAACUGUGGGAACUCUGAGCCGUCUGGCCCUGAGGGCUCAGCCUCAGCCUCCACAUCUGCCUGUUGCGGUCCUGGCUGUGGGGUCUCAGGAUAAGGACAUAGCCCCCUGGAAGCUGGGAAGGCCCCACAUCAGGCCUUGCAGUUUCUAACCCAGGAGGUGGCCGACAGCAGUGCGUCGGGGCUGCCUGUCCCUGCACACGAGGCCCUGGGGGGUGAAUGGAGGCUCUCCCUGUUUUUGUUAGCAUUGGAGGCCUGAGCAGGGCUAACGCCCAACCGCUGCUUAAGCGCAUAAGAUGCUGAGAUGGAAAACGUGUUGCAUGGUGUAAACCACGCAAAGCCCUCCCAGCCAGUGCAGUGAUCGAGGCAGACAGAAGGGAAACCGCCUCUGCAAAGAGAGGCUCGGCUCUCUCUGGGGUACACAGAUCACCCAGACUGGGCAAAGCUCACAUUCAUCCCAGCUCACAGCUGCCUGCAUCCUGUUCACAGCACGCUCCUGUGCGUGACCCUUCUCCCCCACUGAGUGGGGGGCUCUCGGCCUCAGGUGGGGGUGUUUGCAGACACAGCUAUUGUCCUGUCCCUGGAACUCAUAACAUAGACCAGGGGCAGAGACUGUUCCUGAAGCCCCAGGUCAUGGCACAAUAGCCUCUCACAUCAGCCCACAGUAAUGCAAAUUUUCACAAUAAAUGACAUGUCCAUGUCGCCUCUGCUCACACCGCAGUGUCGCUGACUUGAACCCCUGCGUCUGCAGCUUAGUGACAUCCUGUAAACCUACACUUUCCAGCCUCUCACCAGAGCAGACUGUCGGCCUCACAUCACCCCCACCUGCAGGAGGGCGGCUCUUUCCUCUCGGCCACACCUAGAGCCUGGUUCCGAUGAACGCAACUCUGAAUGCCUGGAACAUUCAAAUGCUCUUGUUUGAGGAGGUGGCCAAAUGUAAAUGGAUUCUGAAGAAUCAGGAACAGACGGUGCAGCCCUAGUUAGCCUCUGAGCCCCAACAGGCCCACAGGUGCCUUGCAGAGCUGAUGUUGGCGUCAGAAACUCCGCUCCAGCCUCACAGGCACUCUGCCUGCUUGGAGGUGUUCGCUGGCUCGCUCAGACUGACCUCAGCAGCCAUGAACAUGGGUUCUUUCUGUCCCCUUCCCUGAUUAAAAUGGGAGAGCCCAGUUCUUUCAAAAUUUAUUUCCUGACUUGAGGAUUGAAAAGCCUCUUCUUUCUGGUUAACUACUUGGGUCCCACGUCUUGAAAAAGGCAAGACGAUGGAGGACAAAGGAGACCCCAGCCCAUGCCCUCCCUUCCCCAGCCAGUUCUGGCAUGUGGGGUGACAGACCUGGGGUGGGCACCCUGGGGGGGGUCCCGGCGUGUGGGGGGAUGGGGCUGGGGUGGGCACCCUGGGGGGGUUCUGGCGUGUGGUGUGACGGGGCUGGAGUGGGCACCCUGGGGGGGUCCUGGCAUAUGGGGGGAUGGGGCUGGGGUGGGCACCCUGGGGGAGUCCCUCCCUGGGGCUUUUCCCAGACCUGCCCAGGCUCCGGGGUGUGUGGCUGCGUUAGGAGGCCCUGACUCUCUGAAAUGCUAUGCAAACUUCAUUUCUUAAUCACUGAUUGCUCGGCUGAAAUUCUCGUGUUGAAUUUGCCCAGAGAAUUAGUCAUGACUUUAAUAAAGGGAACAUGUCCCAUGAUUUAUUUCUUCCCAGCAACUGGUUUAGGGAACUAACCCUGGACAUAAACCUCCUUAUCACCUGAUGAACUGAAAGAGCCCCAGGGUUCCUAGGUCCACACUGGGGGCUCACAGCCACGCUGGGAACAGGGCGCCUGACCCUCAGCUCUAAGCCGCUCUGCUGCUGGGUGGAGGAGAGAGGGUGAGCCAGUGCCUACACGAUGUUCCCAAGUCCUGGGAACGUGGCCCCGGGUCAGCUUGGCCCAUGGGGUCACCCUCCUUAGCAGGCAGCUCCCAGCUCCUUUGGGGGGUCUAUCAGGGUCCUAAUGAGGCCUCUCUUUCCCAUCUUCAUCCAGCCCUGCUCCUCUCUGCCGUGGACAGCUUGGGGCUUUCUGAGGGGCCACCUUUGGCCCUGAUGCCUUCCCUCCUAUCCUGGUUGAGGGCAGGCAGCAGGGACUCACCCAUUGCCCACACCCUCCACCCACUAUGGCCAGUGAGACACAGCCAUUUGUGAGCUCAGGGACCUGCUGCUACAAGGGCACAAGAGUCUCCCCGUGCUGGGGCCUCAGACGCUGAGGACUUGGGUGGUGGCCACCCUGAGGGCCACCUGUGCCCAGCCCUGGGGAGAGCCCCCCAGGGAAGGCAUGAUCCCCAGGAGAGGCCGGGAGGGCCCGGGCCCCUCUGUUGUCCCUCUAGGACCCCACCGGCUCAGGGCCCCGGGUUCACCCUAGCAGUGCAGCAAGACAGCAAAGCAAGGCCGGACCACACUCAGCAGAAAGGGAAGGCAGCCAAGGCAGACGGCAAAGCAAGCAACCUCCCCAGAGGCCCUCGCAGCCCCGGGGAGGCGGCACUGGAACAGAAACCACGUGAGAAUGCAGCACAAGCCGGGUUUGGAGGUGUGGGAGAGCUGGGGCCCAAAGUGGGGCUGGGGGAAGGAGGGGAUGGAGGCCCUGCCCUGAUUGGGACAAGCCUGUUCCGUGGCCUGAGGGGGAGAAGCCGCUGGGGCAGAGGGGAGGCCACAGGACAGGAUGGACACACAACCUGCCUUGUGCCACAGCCAGGAGGCGUCUCUCCACCCAGAUGGGAAGAACACUGAGAAUGAGGGUGUGCCGCAGACUUGAUCAUGGCGGGGAAAAAGACAGCAGAGGAAACGGGGUGCCCCCUUCGCGAAGACUAAGGGACAGUCUCCCAAUGUGAAGGCUGGGCUGGGGAAGGGAAACCCACCUGGCAGCUGCCGAGGGUAACCAAGGAUGGGAACGGCGGUGAAGAAAGCAGCGGCCCCAGAGCCCAGGAAGCCGACCCACCAGGCGCCGACCCACAGUGGGCUCUCGGUGGUCAGCUCCGUCCUGUGGAAGAGGCAGUGGCACCUGGGUCAGCGUGCAGCCCACCUGUGCCCUCCAUGGCACACACACUGGGGGCUGCUGGCCCCUCCUCCGGGCAGACCUCCAGGGUCUGUCUGCACGCUGGUCAACACAGGCCCCUGGUGCUGCUGGCCACAGGUCCUGUCCCUUCCUUGCAGACUAAAGCAAACACCACCUUGGCUUAGCUGUCCCCCAAGACAGAUGGCUCCAUGCCUUGGCCCACGCUCCAGGGCUGGAGAUGCCACCUGUGGCCUGGUCCUGAGACCACGGUGGGGUUGGGCACUAAGAGGAGCAGCCUCUCCAGGCAACAGCGGGAGGAGGCAUCCCUCCCCACAGUGCAGAGGAUGACAGAUGGGGUUCCCAGGGACGCCAGAGGGCUCAGCUGGAGCUCACUGAGAGCUCCCCACGAAGGGACUGUUGUGCACGUGGCAAUUUGCACAUAAGUGCUUUCAAACGAAAAGGCGAGUGGAAAAUAACCAUGGGCUGAGGCGGCCGUGGAGUGGUAGAAGCCCAUCCAAGCUCUGGGCAUCCAGGGACGCGUCUUCACAGUGAGGACAAGCUCUGGGCUUUCGGGGAUGUGUCUUCACAGUGAGGCAGCGGCGGGAGGGCAAAAGGCCAGCAAAGGCCGGGAGCAGAGCCGCAGAGACAGACAGAGGACACAGGGAGCGCCAACACCCUGCAAGGCUGCAGCCAGGCGGCACCUGCUUGCUCCAGCGCAGAAAUGCUGCGGCCGCCUCCGGGGGCCAGACCCCGCUCUGCCUCCCCACUUUGUGCAAAGUGGGCCCAGAUCCCGGAGCCAGAAGGGGCACAGAGACUGAGAGAAGCAUCCAGACCCGGGACACGAGCUCCAGCCUACCUCCAGGCUCUGCCCAGAACGCACACACUUGACCCCACAUUAUCAAUCCGAGGCCAGAGGGGCUUUUGUAAGAGGUCAGAGUGCUAGAGACCUCCAGGAGAGGCGCCAUCUGCAGAAAGAGUCCCAAGGUGCAGCGGUGCCCAGGCCGAGUAACAGAGGACCUUGGAAACUUCACAAGUGCAGGAUGGGCAAGGGAUGAAUGGGGGGCCCAAACCCACAGAGCACUGGCGGUCAGCAAGGACAUGUCUCCUCUGCCUCCCCAUCUCCAUCUGUCUCUGUCUCUCUCUGCCUGUCGCUGUCUUCUUUCUGUCCCUCUGUAUCUCUAUCUCCAUCUGUCUCUGUGAAUUGGUCUGUCUCUACGUGUCUUUCCCUCUGUCUCUCUCUGCCUCUCCCUCCACCCCUCCUUGCUUUCUCCUGCUUACAUUUACAGAAACUAGGGUCACACACACAAGAUACAAAGAAAGGAAAAGAAACAGAAAAAUCUCAGUUUCAUUAGGGAACUAGUGGCCAGGGCUCGCUGGGCUUUGCAAGCGCUUAGGCCUCGGGCACUGCCUGCCUGCCCUGCCUCCUGCCCUGGGGCCGACUCCCAAGGCCCCUACAGAUCCUCCGAGUCCUCCAGAGCCAAGGCCAGCCUUGACUCCCUCCAGCCCGGGGGGUGCCCAGCACCUGCGCCGCGCCCGGCCUGACUCAGAGUGGGCCCUGCUGACUCUGAACCCCCUUCCAGAGACACGUGGGCCUCUCCAGCGCAGGCAGCUGGGUGCGCGGCCACUCACCGUCGGCCCAUUUCCGUGUAGAUAUUCAGCAGGGCACCUCCAAUCAGGUAGCCGGCAGCUGGGCCCAGGAUGGCCGCUGUGUAGAAGAUGGCUGCGAGAGAGGCAGAGGCGUCAGGGCCGCUGUGCACCACCCAGGGGCUGCGGAGGGCCGUGUGGGGCCCCGUGCCUGGGAGAAGCCCCGCACCCGCCAUUCUGCAUCUCCGGCCCACUCCCCUCAUGGGCCUCUUUAAGUUAGAUGAGUCUGUGCAGUUGCCACUGGGCCUGAUAUGGGUCAGCAUCAAUCUUUAAAAAUCCCCCUCAAAGCCAAGUGCACUGUCUUUCCCUUACGAAAGGGCAAAGGCCCUCGAAGCCCCGUUUGCAGGGCGUCUAAGUAGCCGCACAGAUGGACACUGGCAGGAAUUAGGGGCCCAGGGUGGGGAAAGGGACCAGAGAGGCCUGAGCCCCUCCGCCCAGCCACGCUCACUCUCCCACAGGCCGGGAUUUGGAAGGCUCGGUGUGGUGGGACGUCCCCUCGCUGGAGUGAGGUGAUCUCAACACCCGCCUGGGUUCUUGGGACGAGCACUGCCAGGUGACUGGGAUGAGCAGAGCUCAAGGAGGACAUGAGGAGGCUGAGGUCACUGCAGAGUCCGGCUGGGGCCAGCUGCUCCCCGUGACCAUCCUACGAUGCCCUUCCCGGGAGAGCCAAGCCAGGCAGGGGGACGCCGAGAAGUGGGGUCAGGCGGGCCGUGCACUGGGUCAACUCGGCCAUGUCGGACGGGCCAUGGGGCUUCCCUACAUCUCAACAAACAGGAGCAGGAAGCCAGUGAGGGGCCCAGGGCUGCCCCAGGGCAGUGAGCUCAGCUGCCUAGCAUAGAGUUAUAACAUAGAUCUUUACUCUUAGAUAGCUGUGAAGCAGCCAUGAGCUGCUUCAUGUUAUUUUUCCCCUUAAAGUUCUGACUCUCCAGAUUUGCUCGGUCUUUUCCACACCCCUAUGUGGCUGCCGGAGCAGACACGGUGCUUACGGGCAGACGUGGGUGUGGUCUCAGGGCUCUGUCCCUCCACCUCUAUGUGGCUGAUGGAGCCAACAUGGUGCUUUCAGGGAAACAUGGGUGUGGCCUUGGGGCUCUGUCCCUCGUCACUUAUCCCACAUCAAACUCCUUCCCAGGCAAGUGCCAGGUUCCCAGCCGGAGCAUGAGGUCUGCCGCCAUUGGACCUGGUGCCACCCAGCGCCUAGUGACUGUGCCCCUUGGUCCUGGCAAGGUGGGCUGGACACCACGCAGGGGUUGCACUGAGGCUCCCGGGCACAGCGGCCUGGAGCCCUGAGCAGGGUCCACAUGAGAAAGCCGGAGUCCCUUACAUCAGCUUUGGGCCUCAGGGCGGACCCUCCUCCCCUGCCAACUCUUGCAGCAGCCCCAGGGCCAUGCAGACAAGGGGUACACGAAGGCAGGGGGCGGGGCUGGCUCCGGCCAGUUACCCUCACUCCUGCAACACUGCCCUCAGCCACCCCUGCCAGCACUUACCCCGCCAGCCCCACUCACCAAUGUAGACGGGCGAGCAGCUGGACUUGACGUUCUCAUCCAGGUAGGUGACGCCCAGCGUGUAGAGGGGUGUGGCACCCACGCCAUGCAGGAACUGGCCCAGCAUGAAG